rnacentral:lncRNA from 10 species
GCGUGGGAGCUCUGCCCAGUGCAGGAUGUCGCAGGAGCCCCUCUCCCUCCUUCUGCCCCUUUAUCUCUGCCGUGCCUUCCAUUGGGUGAAUUCAACCAGGCCCCAGGGGCAACGGAGCAGCAAGGUCAGCUUCCUGGGGCCCAGGGCAGGGCAGAGGAGGGCAGAGUAGAUGGGGAAACUGACAGUGGGAAAGCAGGGCAAAGCCACAACACUGGGCACCAUGCUAACAGCAUCAAAUGAGGAACACACUGUCCACCGCUACCCAGUCCUGCUCCUCAGAGACAACCACCUCC